rnacentral:rRNA from 1 species
CCUACGGGAGGCAGCAGUAAGGAAUAUUGGACAAUGCCCGCAAGGGUGAUCCAGCCAUGCCGCGUGCAGGAAGACGGCCCUAUGGGUUGUAAACUGCUUUUGAACAAGAGAAAACCUCCCGACGUGUCGGGAGCUGAUAGUAUUGUUAGAAUAAGCAUCGGCUAACUUCGUGCCAGCAGCCGCGGUAAGACGAAGGAUGCAAGCGUUAUCCGGAUUCAUUGGGUUUAAAGGGUGCGUAGGCGGCCUUGUAAGUCAGUGGUGAAAUCUCCUCGCUU